GCCAGUGUGGUGUCGUGGUUUGAGCACUGAAUUAUAACUGGAGACCAGGGUUCGAAUCCCUGCUUAGCUA